UUGGCUUCUUUUCCCACGUUUUUUACACUAUAAAUAGUAGAAACUCAAAUAGGAUGGCAAAACAAAGGAAGAAAGAGCUUAGGAUGGCUAAGAUUGUGAACUUGGUUUCGGUGCUUUCUCUCCUCCUCCUCAUUGCUUUUGCUGACGCCCAAAUUCUCGGACAUGGGUUCUUGAAGCCGCCUCCCACCCUAAAGUGUGAUAAAACCUACGGUGUAAAAAGCGGAGACACUUGUUUUGGGGUUGAGCAAACCUUCAACUUGCCUACUGCCUUCUUUGAGUCAAUCAACCCUAAUCUCAACUGCACGAUACUCUUCGUUGGCCAAUGGCUCUGCCUUAAUGGAUCACUCAGUUAACAAGCUGCAUGCCCAACUGCUCUCAAAUAUUGCAGAGUUCAUGCACGAUGAUAAAUAAGGAGAGACCAGAAAGUAAUGUGUAUUAAUCCGUCACCAUGUAUUUGCCCAUUAAUUUUCAAGUGAUUUUGGACGUUAUAUAUUAAACUCAACUCAAAGACUUCCGAGUUGUUUUACCGUGUUUUUGUUA